rnacentral:rRNA from 1 species
GAUGAACGCUGGCGGCGUGCCUAAUACAUGCAAGUCGAGCGAGGUAGAUUUGAAAGCUUGCUUUCAAAUCUACCUAGCGGCGGACGGGUGAGUAACACGUGGGUAACCUGCCCUUUAGAUUGGGAUAACAUCAGGAAACUGGUGCUAAUACCGAAUAGGAAGAAGAGUCGCAUGACUUUUCUUGGAAAGGUGGCGUAAGCUACCACUAAAGGAUGGACCCGCGGCGCAUUAGCUAGUUGGUGGGGUAACGGCCUACCAAGGCGACGAUGCGUAGCCGACCUGAGAGGGUGAUCGGCCACACUGGGACUGAGACACGGCCCAGACUCCUACGGGAGGCAGCAGUAGGGGAUCUUCGGCAAUGGGCGAAAGCCUGACCGAGCAACGCCGCGUGAGUGAAGAAGGUCUUCGGAUCGUAAAACUCUGUUGUAAGGGAAGAACAGCAGGUAGUUAAAUAAGCUACUUGUGUGACGGUACCUUAUUAGAAAGCCACGGCUAACUACGUGCCAGCCGCCGCAGUAA